UACGUAGGUGGCGAGCGUUGUCCGGAUUUACUGGGCGUAAAGAGCGCGCAGGCGGUCGUACAAGUCGCGUGUGAAAGCCCCCGGCUCAACUGGGGAGGGUCACGCGAUACUGUUCGACUCGAAGGCAGGAGAGGGAAGUGGAAUUCCCGGUGUAGUGGUGAAAUGCGUAGAUAUCAAGUGGAACACCAGUGGCGAAGGCGAGUCCCUGGACGACUCCUGACACUGAGGCACGAAAGCUAGGGGAGCAAACAGG
rnacentral:rRNA from 1 species